AUACAGAGGAUCCGAGCGUUAUCCGGAUUUAUUGGGUUUAAAGGGUGCGCAGGCGGCCAUUUAAGUCAGCGGUUAAAUCGUGGGGCUCAACCCCAUUCUGCCGUUGAUACUGGGUGGCUUGAUUGCGGUCGAGGUUGGCGGAAUUCGUUGUGUAGCGGUGAAAUGCAUAGAUAUGACGAAGAACACCGAUUGCGUAGGCAGCUGACCAGACCGCAAAUGACGCUCAUGCACGAAAGUGCGGGGAUCGAACAGGAUUAGAUACCCUGGUAGUCCGCACAGUAAACGAUGAAUACUUGUUUUCGGCGAUAUAAUGUCGGAGGCAAAGCGAAAGCGAUAAGUAUUCCACCUGGGGAGUACGCCGGCAACGGUGAAACUCAAAGGAAUUGACGGGG
rnacentral:rRNA from 1 species